ACCGUUUCUAGAGGCAUUGAAGGUAUGGCUGCUGUGUUAUGUGUGUAGGUGGCAGAGAAAAAAGAGGCUGUGUCUAAGCCUCCUCUUCUUACCUGCACACAUUUGAAGUUUAGCCUCCUAAA
rnacentral:snoRNA from 1 species